AGUGAACGCUGGCGGUAGGCCUAACACAUGCAAGUCGAACGGCAGCACAGUAAGAGCUUGCUCUUACGGGUGGCGAGUGGCGGACGGGCGAGGAAUACAUCGGAAUCUACUUUUUCGUGGGGGAUAACGUAGGGAAACUUACGCUAAUACCGCAUACGACCUACGGGUGAAAGCAGGGGAUCUUCGGACCUUGCGCGAUUGAAUGAGCCGAUGUCGGAUUAGCUAGUUGGCGGGGUAAAGGCCCACCAAGGCGACGAUCCGUAGCUGGUCUGAGAGGAUGGUCAGCCACACUGGAACUGGGACACGGUCCAGACUCCUACGGGAGGCAGCAGUGGGGAAUAUUGGACAAUGGGCGCAAGCCUGAUCCAGCCAUACCGCGUGGGUGAAGAAGGCCUUCGGGUUGUAAAGCCCUUUUGUUGGGAAAGAAAAGCAGCAGGUUAAUACCCCGCUGUUCUGACGGUACCCAAAGAAUAAGCACCGGCUAACUUCGUG
rnacentral:rRNA from 1 species